UAAGCGUGCGCAGGCGGUUUGUAAGACUGUCGUGAAAUCCCCGGGCUCAACCUGGGAAUGGCGAUGGUGACUGCAAGGCUAGAGUUUGGCAGAGGGGGGUAGAAUUCCACGUGUAAGCAGUGAAAUGCGUAGAUAUGUGGAGGAACACCGAUGGCGAAGGCAGCCCCCUGGGUCAAAACUGACGCUCAUGCACGAAAGCGUGGGGAGCAAACAGGAUUAGAUACCCGAGU
rnacentral:rRNA from 1 species